CCAUAGCAACAGUGGCAUGAUACCUGACAAAAUGUGUGUCAGAAUCUUAAUACUAACUCUAAACACUCUGCUGUUUUCAGGAUCUUCUCUCAGUAAUCAAGUCCGCCAGACUCCACUUUACAUCCAGGCAAAUCCAGGAAACUCAGCCAAUAUCAACUGCUCUCACAGCAUUCAGAACUACAACGUUAUGCUUUGGUACAAGAGAUCAGAGGACAGGCAGCUCCAGCUUCUAGGUUAUAGGUAUUUGGGCAGCAGUACCUAUGAAUCUGGAGCGAAAGUGGAGAUUGAAGGGAGUGCAGACAAAGACAAGAACUGCACUCUGACAAUACAGGAGCUCAGUGUGAGCAGCAGUGCUGUUUACUUCUGUGCUGCUAGCUACCACAGUGAUGCAUAUCACUGCUCCUCAGUGCAAAAACCUCAACCUUCACUGAAAACCUAUAUAUAG